rnacentral:lncRNA from 1 species
CUCAGUAGUAAUAGAUUCAACUUCAUCAUUUGAUAAAAACCUGGGGUUUUUUUGUUUAAGGUAAACAGAACAUGACAAAGUAUAUAUAUCAAGAAACAUUCAUGUUGAAAUUUAGGAAAGCUUGCAUGAAUGAAGUCCAAAAUCUUUAGAAUGACUCUCAUGACCAUUCAUUCUAUCACAUUUAAUUGCAAUGCAAUCUUUUAAAAUGUACAGUAUCUUUAAUUCCUUCUUUUUUUCUUUUUUAGGGCUGCCCCUGUGGCAUAUGGAAGUCCCAUCUAUUGGAGUAGGAGAUGAAAUCAGUGCUUCAGCUGAAGCCUAUGCCACAGCCAAGUACACUGGUUCUGAGCCAGCUGCACCCAUGACCUAUAGUGCUUUUUGCUUGGUUUGUCUGCUCUACCACUUUAAACUGCUCACAUCCUUCAAAAAGGCAGAUGACAAGAUAUAGGAAAAAGGCUACCUCUCAUUCGCCUUUAUAUUUCAGUGUCUCAUACUAUGCAAGGUAUGUAGGAAACCCUCAGUAAACAUUUCUUGAGUUGAAUUAAAUCAGUUCUCUAUCAGUGACAGCACUGGACUAAAUCCUACAACUCUUAAUUCCUAGAAUGGUAAAUUUCCCCAUUGUACCAACUUGCUUCCAAGUCCUCUGGCAGAAUGGGAAAAAAAAAAAAAUCAGUGAAGUUCUCUAUGCCUCAGUUUCCUGAAAACCAUCAUUCCUGGAUUCUCUCUGCGGAAUAAAGGCAUUUAAAUAGAGAAAGCAAUGAGAUCCUAACACAUACAAUUUUUUAAUUCUUUGAUCUUGCUUCCUAAUAUCUCAUUGAGCCAAGAAAUGUAUGCAUCAUGUAAAAUUCCCAUGACCACAAAAAGCUAAAGAACAUAUAUUUUAGUCAUUGUUAAAUCCAUUAUGUCUAUAAAUUAUACUGAUAUAUAAUUCCAAUCACUGCUUAAAUAUUUAUAAUAUUGGAUUCUAUUAUAUUCUGUUCUAUUGAUAGUUUCUAAAUCUCAUGUAAGGCAAUAAAAUCCUUUAUUACCAGACUUUAGUAGCUAAGUUAUUUGCUAUAUAGAUUCAAUUUCAAUUUUUUUCUCUUCAGAUUUCUUUAUCAGGGCAAAUAUUAUCAAAAUAAAAACAACACAAGGAAUACAGAGACCAAGCAAAUAUAUCCAUAUACAUCCAGAAAGUAUAAGUCUUUGAAUAUCCAGCAAUAGGAAAAUAAGUACAUUUUGAAUGCAUUCAGAUUAAUAAAAAUAUUUAUACAGACUUCUGGAAUUGGUGACAGUUUGAAUUGUUGCUCACUAGCUCUUAUAUAGAUAGCAUCACCACUAUAUUUCGUUCAGGCUAGAUUCUACAGCGACAGUGAGAAAGACAAAGGCCAAGCCUUGCUAGGGAUCUGUAUUUUCUAUUCCUCAUCCUGAACACUGACUACGCACAAAGAGUCUUGCCAUUCCUUCUCAGCAUUCUCAACUAAGUCAUCAAAACCCAUUCCUAGACAUAAUCUGAUACCAACUAUCUGUACUGUAUUAUUAAUUUAUAUUAUACUAUUAUCCCAGAGAAUAUUUGGUCCUUGAGUUCCACCUCUAAUACAAGAAAUACCUGGAAGUUCCCUUCAUGGUGCAGUGGAAACAAAUCUGACUAGUAUCCAUGAGGAUGUAGGUUUGAUCCCUGGCCUUGCUCAUUGGGGAUCCAAUGUUGCCGUGAGCUGUGGUGUAAUUCACAGAUGUGGCUUGGAUCCCAUGUUAUGGUACCUGCGGCGUAGGCUGGCAACUGUAGCUCCAAUUCAACCCCUAUCCCGGGAACUUCCAUAUGCCUUGGGUAUGGCCUUAAAAAAGCAAAAAAAAAAAAAAAAAAAAAAAAAAAAAANCUUGACAUACUUGAGGGAGUUGGGGCGUCCAAUUUCUAGAUGUACUCCCACAAUUCUCACUCAGGGCUAGGGAAAGCUAGUUGUGUUAGCAUUGUUAUUGCGAAGAUAGGUUAUCUCCUUUGGUCAAGAAGUAUUUAUUCAGUGUCUGUCAUGUGUCAAGCACUUCACUGUAUCAAGUGUACAGUCUAGUUAGGGUGAUAAAAGCAGAACACGUGAUCACUAUGCAAUGCAGGCAAUGCUAUGACAGGCAGGUGUGCAAUGCCCCACAAGUGGGAGACAGUCUGAUUCACUCAACAACAGGUAUUUAUUAAGAUCCAAAGUGAUAAGCAUUAUUCUAGGUGCCAAAUUUUUAUACUUUUUAAUUAGAAAAAUCUUCCAACAUAUGCCAAACAUUUUUUAUUUUUACAUUCACAGCAAUCUUUGUGUUGCUUCAGUCAGCAGAUUUGAAAUAUUGAAGUGCCAUCUAAUUGCUAUGUUAGUUUAGACAACUCUCAGAACUCCAGUGUUAAGGAAAUGGAGAGGUGAAAGAAAAAGGCUUAUUUUUUGACAUGUUUCUGCUGAUAUUUCCCAGAAUCAACAAUCAUUUCCACUCAAAAUAAAAUAUUUAUGUAAAAUAUAUAUUAGCUCUAGUUUCUGUAAUGCCUUAUUUUAUUGAUGAUAUCAUAGGAACAACAAUACAACACAGAUCUCUUCAGAAUGCCAGAAAGAAUUCCUUCUCACUGGCUCUUUUUGUAGGGAUCAAAUACCUACCAGUAGGUAUUAGGUUCUGCCUCCAGGAAUAGCAGGAUCUAUGGUCAGGGUGGGAGAUAAUGGCUGGUGUCAGUACACACACGCAUACACAUUUUAAAAAACUUUUAAAAUACACAAUGGAAUACUACUCAGCCAUAAAAAAGGAUGACAUAAUGCCAUUUGCAGCAACAUGGAUGGAACUAGAGAAUCUCAUACUGAGUGAAAUGAGCCAGAAAGACAAAGACAAAUACCAUAUGAUAUCACUCAUAACUGGAAUCUAAUAUCCAGCACAAAUGAACAUCUCCUCAGAAAAGAAAAUCAU